CCUACGGGUGGCUGCAGUGGGGAAUUUUGGACAAUGGGCGAAAGCCUGAUCCAGCAAUGCCGCGUGUGUGAUGAAGGCCUUCGGGUUGUAAAGCACUUUUGGUGGGAACGAAACGGUCCGGGCUAAUACCCUGGACUAAUGACGGUACCCGCAGAAUAAGCACCGGCUAACUACGUGCCAGCAGCCGCGGUAAUACGUAGGGUGCAAGCGUUAAUCGGAAUUACUGGGCGUAAAGCGUGCGCAGGCGGUUUUGUAAGACCGAUGUGAAAUCCCCG
rnacentral:rRNA from 1 species